UACGUAGGGGGCAAGCGUUGCUCGGAAUUAUUGGGCGUAAAGGGUGCGUAGGCGGUUGGGUAAGUCUGACGUGAAAUCUUCAAGCUCAACUUGGAAACUGCGUCGGAUACUAUUCGGCUGGAGGAAUGGAGGGGAGACUGGAAUACUUGGUGUAGCAGUGAGAUGCGUAGAUAUCAAGUGGAACACCAGUGGCGAAGGCGAGUCUCUGGACAUUUCCUGACGCUGAGGCACGAAAGCCAGGGGAGCAAACGGG
rnacentral:rRNA from 1 species